rnacentral:rRNA from 1 species
CCUACGGGCGGCAGCAGUGAGGAAUAUUGGUCAAUGGGCGCGAGCCUGAACCAGCCAAGUCGCGUGAGGGAAGACGGUCCUAAGGAUUGUAAACCUCUUUUGUCGGGGAGCAAAAGACGCCACGCGUGGCGUUCCGAGAGUACCCGAAGAAAAAGCAUCGGCUAACUCCGUGCCAGCAGCCGCGGUAAUACGGAGGAUGCGAGCGUUAUCCGGAUUUAUUGGGUUUAAAGGGUGCGCAGGCGGAAGAUCAAGUCAGCGGUAAAAGUGAGAGGCUCAACCUCUUCGAGCCGUUGAAACUGGUUUUCUUGAGUGAGCGAGAAGUAUGCGGAAUGCGCGGUGUAGCGGUGAAAUGCAUAGAUAUCACGCAGAACUCCGAUUGCGAAGGCAGCAUACCGGCGCUCAACUGACGCUCAUGCACGAAAGUGUGGGUAUCGAACAGGAUUAGAUACCCCAGUAGUC